rfam:Nematostella vectensis strain CH2 x CH6 NEMVEscaffold_251_Cont20872, whole genome shotgun sequence.
GACUCCGUGGCGCCAUGGUAGCGCGUCUGACUCCAGAUCAGAAGGUUGCGUGUACAUAUCACGUCGGGGUCA